rnacentral:rRNA from 1 species
UACGUAGGGUGCAAGCGUUGUCCGGAAUUAUUGGGCGUAAAGAGCUCGUAGGCGGUUUGUUGCGUCGGCUGUGAAAUCCCGAGGCUCAACCUCGGGUCUGCAGUCGAUACGAGCAAACUAGAGUGUUGCAGGGGAGACUGGAAUUCCUGGUGUAGCGGUGAAAUGCGCAGAUAUCAGGAGGAACACCGAUGGCGAAGGCAGGUCUCUGGGCCAUUACUGACACUGAGAAGCGAAAAGCAUGGGGGAGCGAACAGG